CCUACGGGGGGCAGCAGUGGGGAAUAUUGCACAAUGGGCGAAAGCCUGAUGCAGCAACGCCGCGUGAGCGAUGAAGGCCUUCGGGUUGUAAAGCUCUGUCCUCAAGGAAGAUAAUGACGGUACUUGAGGAGGAAGCCCCGGCUAACUACGUGCCAGCAGCCGCGGUAAUACGUAGGGGGCUAGCGUUAUCCGGAAUUACUGGGCGUAAAGGGUGCGUAGGUGGUUUGAUAAGUCAGAGGUGAAAGGCUGCGGCUCAACCGUAGAAAGCCUUUGAAACUGGGGGACUUGAGUGCAGGAGAGGAGAGUGGAAUUCCUAGUGUAGCGGUGAAAUGCAUAGAUAUCACGAAGAACACCGAUGGCGAAGGCAGCAUACCGGCUCCACACUGACGCUGAGGCACGAAAGCGUGGGUAUCGAACAGGAUUAGAUACCCCUGUAGUC
rnacentral:rRNA from 1 species